rnacentral:rRNA from 1 species
GACGAACGCUGGCGGCGUGCUUAACACAUGCAAGUCGAACGGUGAAGCCUUCGGGUGGAUCAGUGGCGAACGGGUGAGUAACACGUGAGCAAUCUGCCCUUGACUCUGGGAUAACUUCGGGAAACCGGAGCUAAUACCGGAUAUGACAUCUGGCCGCAUGGUCUGGGUGUGGAAAGAUUUAUCGGUCAGGGAUGAGCUCGCGGCCUAUCAGCUUGUUGGUGGGAAUGGCC